GAAGGGAAGAUGGGAUGAGUUUUUUAUUAGGAAAAUGGAAAGGGUGAUGGGUGGAGGAGAAAGUGUAUGAGUAUUAUAAUGGAAGUGGGAUGAAAAGAGACGUGAUUUUUAGAGAAGGUGAAUAAACAAAGGUGAAAUAAGAAGAUGAUUCUCUGGAUAUGUGGAGUGGAGGAACCUUUUAAGGGAAUGAAUGGAUGUGGUGUUUGGUGGAAG
rnacentral:lncRNA from 1 species